CUUAGCCUCGGCUCCUGUAAAUCAUAUAAGCACACCCACCACACCCCCAGGAGCAUUCCGCGUGCCCCCACCUGCCAACCUGCCUGUCCCCCCCAGCCCACAGGCCGUCUGUUGUUCUGAAAUUUAUCCACAUGACUCCUUACCAAGUCUAAGGUAAAUCAGAUUCCAUCUAUUAGAAAUGAAAUUUUCAGUAAAAUACAAAUUUUUCCCCCAAUCUGGGAGACAGUGCAGAAUUUUUGGAGUCGGUCCUAACUCUGUCUUGAAUAUGUACUCAGCAGGCACCUAGGACUCAUAUCUCCCUCUGAGAAUCUUUCUAAGGCGCUCAGCAGCAGAAAUUCUCCAUCCUAGAUGAGCCUGCAAAGUUCUGUAGAAGUUAAAUAUGCUUUAGUCAAAUGAGAGACUAACCUGUUGUCAGGCAGGGGAAGCUUGAACAAGGCCUUCAUUCAUGACAGCUCCACUUGGCUUUUUGACGAGUCCCCAUUUAGAUGCAGCACGUCAGAGACUGAAGAGCAGGAUGAAGGCUAAAUUCUCUCAAGAAAGAAGUUGCCUCUUACCAUGUCACAAGCAAUUAGUUUUACCCAAAAAGGAGGAGGACCCCUCUCUGCUCCCCGUGUUAAAAAACAAUACACCGCCUCACAGGCCAGAGCCACAGCCUUCUCCUCUCUGCUGGGUGGAAGAACAACUCUCACGCAGUGGAAGUCCUCCAGACCCCCUGCCUUCAGACAA